GACGAACCGUGCGAACGUUGUUCGGAUUUACUGGGCGUAAAGAGCGCGCAGGCGGCUGGUCAAGUCCGAUGUGAAAUCUCCCGGCUUAACUGGGAAACUGCAUCGGAAACUGAUCGGCUUGAAGGUGGGAGAGGGUAGUGGAAUUCCCGGUGUAGUGGUGAAAUGCGUAGAUAUCGGGAGGAACACCUGUGGCGAAGGCGGCCGACUGGGCCGACCCUGACGCUGAGGCGCGAAGGCGUGGGAGCGAA
rnacentral:rRNA from 1 species